GGUACAACUGAAAUGUUUGUUUCCAAAUGGUUUGCUUUUGAACGGAUGAAAUUUCUGCUCGACAGAGACCAACCAAAUUGCACCCUAGAUACCGAAGCUCGAGAAAUGGACGGUGGAGAAGUUACUGACCUAAAUGAGUCUUUAACCGAAGAAAAAAUGUAAGUUAGUCUGAUAAUAAUGUGACACAACCCAAUGAUCUGAAUGCUGAAGAGGCAGUUGACUCACCAAACGGUACUGCAAAAAAACCUGUACAUGAAAAAACUUCAAGUCAAAUAGUAAAAGAGCCUCAGACUUUUCCAAAAAAACGUAAGGUAAACGAAGAUCCAAAAGUAGCAGAAGCUUAUUAACUUAUAAAGUAGGUACAAGCCCGCUGUUCUAAACAAGAGAAAGCUCAAGAUCGGUUUGACAUUUAUGGGCAACACAUCGCGCCAAAAUUAAGAACCUAUUCUAAACGAGCAGAAAUAAUGGUUGAACAUGCUAUCAACAAUAUACAUUUUGACGCAGAUCUAGGAAACUAUGACGGGCCGUCUUUUGGAAGCUCUAUUCAGCAACAUAGGCUAGUUAGUCCGCCUCAUCCCAGCCCUGCCACAAGUCAGUAUACCUCUUAUUCCGACCCUCUAACAAAUGUAUCAGCAACUGAGAGUAUAAGUCAACCUUCAAAUAAUAUGGAUACAUCUGGAUACAACAUGCCAACUGCACAGAACUUUGUUGCUACUUUUAACCCUAUAGACUAUAUAGAAUACCCAACAAAUACUUCUGAAUAAGUUUUUCCAGGUUUCAUUUAUAAUUUUUUUUUAUGUAAAUAUAGCAUUUCCUUUUGUAACUUAUUAUUUAUAAGAAUAAAUAUUUGGUUUCCUC